rnacentral:rRNA from 1 species
UUAAAUUGAGAGUUUGAUCCUGGCUCAGGAUGAACGCUGGCGGCGUGCUUAACACAUGCAAGUCGAGCGAUGAAGUUUCCUUCGGGAAACGGAUUAGCGGCGGACGGGUGAGUAACACGUGGGUAACCUGCCUCAUAGAGUGGAAUAGCCUUCCGAAAGGAAGAUUAAUACCGCAUAAUGUUGAAAGAUGGCAUCAUCAUUCAACCAAAGGAGCAAUCCGCUAUGAGAUGGACCCGCGGCGCAUUAGCUAGUUGGUGGGGUAACGGCCUACCAAGGCGACGAUGCGUAGCCGACCUGAGAGGGUGAUCGGCCACAUUGGGACUGAGACACGGCCCAGACUCCUACGGGAGGCAGCAGUGGGGA